GAUGAACGCUAGCGGCAGGCUUAAGACAUGCAAGUCGAGGGGCAGCACGUUUGUCAGCAAUGCGGGAUGGUGGCGACCGGCAAACGGGUGAGGAUCGCGUACACAAUCUUCCCAGAGCAUGGGGAUAACCCGGUUAAACGCUGACGAAUACCCCGUAGUUUACGUUGAAGGCAGAUUUAAGGUAAUAAAACUCCGGUGGCUUUGGAAGAGUGUGCGCCCCAUUAGGUAGGUGGCAGGGUAACGGCCUACCAAGCCUUCGAUGGGUAACUCGUGUGAGCGCACGCCGAGUCACACGGGCACUGGGACACGGGCCCGACUGCGACGGGAGGGAGCAGUAAGCCCUAUUGAUCACUGGACGAGAGUCUGAACCAGCCCUGCCGGGUGAAGGAUCAAGGUCCUCUGGAUUGUAAACUUCUUUUACAGGGGGCGCAAACAGGGUUUUUUACCUCACUUGACGGUACCUUAUGAAUAAGCACCGGCUAACUCCGUG
rnacentral:rRNA from 1 species